UUAUCGCNCNAUUCCCUUGAGUUGAUCUGGCUCAGGAUGAACGCUAGCGGCAGGCUUAAUACAUGCAAGUCGAGGGGCAGCGCGGGUAGCAAUACCUGGCGGCGACCGGCAAACGGGUGCGGAACACGUACGCAACCUUCCUUCAAGUGGGGAAUAGCCCAGGGAAACUUGGAUUAAUACCCCUUAAUAUUAUUGGGUGGCAUCACCUGAUAAUUAAAGCUCCGGCGCUUGAAGAUGGGCGUGCGCCUGAUUAGGUAGUUGGCGGGGUAACAGCCCACCAAGCCUACGAUCAGUAACUGGUGUGAGAGCACGACCAGUCACACGGGCACUGAGACACGGGCCCGACUCCUACGGGAGGCAGCAGUAAGGAAUAUUGGUCAAUGGACGCAAGUCUGAACCAGCCAUGCUGCGUGGAGGAUGACGGCCCUCUGGGUUGUAAACUCCUUUUAUCUGGGAAGAAAUGCAGACUUUCUAGUCUGUUUGACGGUACCAGAGGAAUAAGCACCGGCUAACUCCGUGCCAGCAGCCGCGGUAAUACGGAGGGUGCAAGCGUUAUCCGGAUUCACUGGGUUUAAAGGGUGCGUAGGUGGAGUGGUAAGUCAGUGGUGAAAUCUCCAAGCUUAACUUGGAAACUGCCGUUGAUACUAUCAUUCUUGAAUAUCGUGGAGGUAAGCGGAAUAUGUCAUGUAGCGGUGAAAUGCUUAGAUAUGACAUAGAACACCGAUUGCGAAGGCAGCUUGC
rnacentral:rRNA from 1 species